GUUGGAAUCGCUAGUAAUCGCGGAUCAGCAUGCCGCGGUGAAUACGUUCCCGGGCCUUGUACACACCGCCCGUCACACCAUGAGAGUCGGGAACACCCGAAGUCCGUAGCCUAACCGCAAGGAGGGCGCGGCCGAAGGUGGGUUCGAUAAUUGGGGUGAAGUCGUAACAAGGUACC
rnacentral:rRNA from 1 species